UACGAAGGGGGCUAGCGUUGUUCGGAAUUACUGGGCGUAAAGCGCGCGCAGGCGGCUAUCCAAGUCAGUGGUGAAAGCCCGGAGCUCAACUCCGGAACUGCCAUUGAAACUGUUUAGCUUGAGGAUGAGAGAGGUGAGUGGAAUUCCCAGUGUAGAGGUGAAAUUCGUAGAUAUUGGGAAGAACACCGGUGGCGAAGGCGGCUCACUGGCUCAUUACUGUCGCUCAGGCGCGAUAGCGUGGGGAUCAAACAGG
rnacentral:rRNA from 1 species